GCGCCCGUAGCUCAGUGGAUAGAGCGUCGGUCUUCGGAACCGAAAGUCGGGGGUUCGAAUCCCUCCGGGCGUA
rnacentral:tRNA from 1 species